UACGUAGGGGCUAGCGUUAUCCGGAAUUACUGGGCGUAAAGGGUUCGUAGGCGGUAAUACAUGUCAGAUGUGAAAUCUUGUGGCUUAACCACAUCAAGCAUCUGAAACUGUAUAACUUGAGUGGAGGAGAGGUAAGUGGAAUUCCUAGUGUAGCGGUGAAAUGCGUAGAUAUUAGGAAGAAUACCAGUAGCGAAGGCGACUUACUGGCCUCUAACUGACGCUGAUGAACGAAAGCGUGGGUAGCAAACAGGAUUAGAUACCCUGGUA
rnacentral:rRNA from 1 species